rnacentral:rRNA from 1 species
GGUUAAGCGACUAAGCGUACACGGUGGAUGCCCUGGCAGUCAGAGGCGAUGAAGGACGUGCUAAUCUGCGAUAAGCGUCGGUGAGGUGAUAUGAACCGUUAUAACCGGCGAUUUCCGAAUGGGGAAACCCAGUGUGUUUCGACACACUAUCAUUAACUGAAUCCAUAGGUUAAUGAGGCGAACCGGGGGAACUGAAACAUCUAAGUACCCCGAGGAAAAGAAAUCAACCGAGAUUCCCCCAGUAGCGGCGAGCGAACGGGGAGGAGCCCAGAGCCUGAAUCAGUGUGUGUGUUAGUGGAAGCGUCUGGAAAGGCGUGCGAUACAGGGUGACAGCCCCGUACACAAAAAUGCACAUACUGUGAGCUCGAUGAGUAGGGCGGGACACGUGGUAUCCUGUCUGAAUAUGGGGGGACCAUCCUCCAAGGCUAAAUACUCCUGACUGACCGAUAGUGAACCAGUACCGUGAGGGAAAGGCGAAAAGAACCCCGGCGAGGGGAGUGAAAAAGAACCUGAAACCGUGUACGUACAAGCAGUGGGAGCCUCUUAAUGGGGUGACUGCGUACCUUUUGUAUAAUGGGUCAGCGACUUAUAUUCUGUAGCAAGGUUAACCGAAUAGGGGAGCCGAAGGGAAACCGAGUCUUAACUGGGCGUUAAGUUGCAGGGUAUAGACCCGAAACCCGGUGAUCUAGCCAUGGGCAGGUUGAAGGUUGGGUAACACUAACUGGAGGACCGAACCGACUAAUGUUGAAAAAUUAGCGGAUGACUUGUGGCUGGGGGUGAAAGGCCAAUCAAACCGGGAGAUAGCUGGUUCUCCCCGAAAGCUAUUUAGGUAGCGCCUCGUGAAUUCAUCUCCGGGGGUAGAGCACUGUUUCGGCAAGGGGGUCAUCCCGACUUACCAACCCGAUGCAAACUGCGAAUACCGGAGAAUGUUAUCACGGGAGACACACGGCGGGUGCUAACGUCCGUCGUGAAGAGGGAAACAACCCAGACCGCCAGCUAAGGUCCCAAAGUCAUGGUUAAGUGGGAAACGAUGUGGGAAGGCCCAGACAGCCAGGAUGUUGGCUUAGAAGCAGCCAUCAUUUAAAGAAAGCGUAAUAGCUCACUGGUCGAGUCGGCCUGCGCGGAAGAUGUAACGGGGCUAAACCAUGCACCGAAGCUGCGGCAGCGACACUAUGUGUUGUUGGGUAGGGGAGCG